GCCCCAGGGCCGGCGGCCCCAGAGAGAGAAACGAGCACCCGGACCACGGGGCAGGAACGUUCGCUUCAUGGACACCUGGGUGUCCCCGGGGAGGGGGAUACAGCCACGGACAGGGCUGGUCAUCGCUCCCAUCCAACAACACACGUCACGGCGUUAUUAUAGCUUACCUAUAUAUAUAUAUAUAUAUAUAUUUGUGUAUAUAUAUAUAUUUAUAGACAUACUGGAAUUCCAGAGCAUUCCCAGUGGUCCCUGCAGGUGCUGCUCCAGUCCCACAGCCCUGUGAAGUGCAGAGGUGCCUAACACCAGCUACCCCAGGACUGGGAGGAGCUCCAAGACCUUUUCAGAGAAAGAAGAGAAGCUGUACAUUGCAUAAGAAAAGCAGCAGAUUGAGAAAGCAAAACCAGAAAUAACACCGCCACAAGAGAGCUGAACACAACCCUGGCCCAGCUGGAUUACAGUCACUUGU